UACAGAGGUCUCAAGCGUUGUUCGGAUUCAUUGGGCGUAAAGGGUGCGUAGGUGGCGCGCUAAGUCAGGUGUGAAAUUUCGGAGCUCAACUCCGAAACUGCAUUUGAUACUGGCGUGCUUGAGGACUGGAGAGGAGACUGGAAUUUACGGUGUAGCAGUGAAAUGCGUAGAGAUCGGAAGGAACAUCAAUGGCGAAGGCAGCCGCCUGGGCCUGGACUGACACUGACAGCGCGAAAGCCAGGGGAGCAAACGGG
rnacentral:rRNA from 1 species